rnacentral:rRNA from 1 species
CCGAAUUCGUCGACAACAGAGUUUGAUCCUGGCUCAGGACGAACGCUGGCGGCGUGCCUAAUACAUGCAAGUCGAGCGAAUCUUUAAAAGCUUGCUUUUGAAGAUUAGCGGCGGACGGGUGAGUAACACGUGGGCAACCUGCCUGUAAGACUGGGAUAACUUCGGGAAACCGGAGCUAAUACCGGAUAAUCCUUUUCCUCUCAUGAGGAAAAGCUGAAAGUCGGUUUCGGCUGACACUUACAGAUGGGCCCGCGGCGCAUUAGCUAGUUGGUGAGGUAACGGCUCACCAAGGCAACGAUGCGUAGCCGACCUGAGAGGGUGAUCGGCCACACUGGGACUGAGACACGGCCCAGACUCCUACGGGAGGCAGCAGUAGGGAAUCUUCCGCAAUGGACGAAAGUCUGACGGAGCAACGCCGCGUGAGCGAUGAAGGCCUUCGGGUCGUAAAGCUCUGUUGUUAGGGAAGAACAAGUAUCGGAGUAACUGCCGGUACCUUGACGGUACCUAACCAGAAAGCCACGGCUAACUACGUGCCAGCAGCCGCGGUAAUACGUAGGUGGCAAGCGUUGUCCGGAAUUAUUGGGCGUAAAGCGCGCGCAGGCGGUCCUUUAAGUCUGAUGUGAAAGCCCACGGCUCAACCGUGGAGGGUCAUUGGAAACUGGGGGACUUGAGUGCAGAAGAGGAAAGCGGAAUUCCACGUGUAGCGGUGAAAUGCGUAGAGAUGUGGAGGAACACCAGUGGCGAAGGCGGCUUUCUG